CAGGAUGAACGCUAGCGACGGGCUAACACAUGCAAGUCGAGGGGCAGCAUAAAAGUAGCAAUACUUGGUGGCGACCGGCGCACGGGUGAGUAACGCGUAUGCAACCUACCUAUCAGAGGGGAAUAACCCGGCGAAAGUCGGACUAAUACCGCAUAAAACAGGGGCACCGCAUGGUGAUAUUUGUUAAAGAAAUUCGCUGAUAGAUGGGCAUGCGUUCCAUUAGGUAGUUGGUGAGGUAACGGCUCACCAAGCCGACGAUGGAUAGGGGAACUGAGAGGUUGGUCCCCCACACUGGUACUGAGACACGGACCAGACUCCUACGGGAGGCAGCAGUGAGGAAUAUUGGUCAAUGGGCGGGAGCCUGAACCAGCCAAGUCGCGUGAAGGAAGAAGGAUCUAUGGUUCGUAAACUUCUUUUGCAGGGGAAUAAAGUGCAGGACGUGUCCUGUUUUGUAUGUACCCUGAGAAUAAGGAUCGGCUAACUCCGUGCCAGCCGCCGC
rnacentral:rRNA from 1 species